UUAAUAGUUCCGGCUAUUGAUUCGAACGAAUAAGGUUCCGCCUUUAAAUUAUAAGGCUGUCCUUGAACUUUGCUACAAACGUCGUAACAUUACUUGACACAGACAGCAGAGGAAAUUCAAGAAAGAAAUGUGCACAGUCAAGUGAAUGUUUGUGCAACUUUCUCACACCUCAUUUGCGAUGGUGGGAAUUUUCCAGAGGUCCUUAAGGCUGAGGACACCCCUGACACAAUUGUCCUUCCACAACUCUACCUCACCCACAGACAUAUUGUCAUCCUUAGUCCUCCGGGGUCGAUUAUUUCCCAUCUGCAGCCCCUCUGUAUUUUUCUCCUUCCGUCGCACACUGCAUACUAGCAAUGAUGGGCCCAAGUCGCUGUCAGACACUCCACCACCGAGACGACCCUUCUGCAGGGUUACACAGGAGGAUUUGACCUUUUUUAGAACGCUUCUUCCUGGCAGAGCCAUCACUGACCCAGACCUGUUGGAAUCCAGUAAUGUCGACUGGCUCAAGUCUGUGAAAGGUUCCAGUGAAGUUUUGCUGAGACCUCAGACAACAGAGGAAGUGUCUCAAAUUCUGAGAUAUUGUAACAGUCGCAACCUGGCGGUGAACCCUCAAGGGGGUAAUACUGGCUUGGUUGGCGGGAGUGUUCCAGUUCACGAUGAGAUCGUCCUCUCCACCGCCCUAAUGAACAACAUACUCCGCUUUGAUGACGUCUCUGGUAUUUUAACGUGUCAGUCAGGUUGCAUCUUGGAGAAUUUGUCUCUCUACCUGGAGGAGAGGGGCCACAUCAUGCCUCUGGAUCUUGGUGCAAAAGGGAGCUGCCAGAUCGGAGGCAAUGUGGCGACUAACGCAGGUGGGCUGCGGCUGCUCCGUUACGGCUCCUUACACGGGACUGUACUCGGUCUGGAAGUGGUGCUGGCCAAUGGACAGGUGCUGGACUGCUUGUCCACGCUGCGGAAAGAUAACACGGGAUAUGACCUCAAACAGCUGUUCAUUGGGUCAGAGGGCACUUUGGGGGUGAUCACUGCAGUGUCCAUCCUUUGCCCACAAAAACCCAAAUCUGUUAAUGUGGUCUUCUUGGGCUGUGAGACCUUUGAGCAGCUGCUGAAGACAUUUCAGCUGAGCAGAAGCAUGCUGGGAGAAAUUCUGUCUGCCUUUGAGUUCUUGGACAGCGAAUGUUUGAAUCUGCUCAGAACACACCUGAAGCUACAGAAUCCCAUCUCUGAUUGUCCGUUUUACAUCGUCAUAGAAACUCAGGGAUCCGACUCGAACCACGAUGAGGAGAAACUCCACAACUUCCUGGAAGAAGCCAUGAAGUCUUCGUUAGUUGUGGAUGGGACCGUGGCCACAGAGGAGGCAAAAAUAAAGCUUUUCAGGCUUUGUGGUCGAUGCGCGAACGCAUCACAGAGGCUCUCACACACGACGGCUUCACCUACAAGUACGACAUUUCUCUUCCGGUGGAGCGGAUCUACCAGCUGGUGACGGACAUGCGGCAGCACCUGGGGGAGCGCGCCAAAAGCGUGGUGGGAUAUGGCCACGUAGGUGAUGGCAACCUUCACCUGAACAUCACCUCUCCUGCCAAGAACCCCGCUCUGCUGGCGGCCAUUGAGCCUUUCGUCUACGAAUGGACAGCCAAGUUCCAGGGCAGCAUUAGUGCAGAACAUGGACUGGGUCUGAAGAAAAGGAACUAUAUCUAUUACAGUAAGUCGAGCCAAGCUGUGGCACUGAUGGGGACCAUAAAGGCCAUUUUGGACCCGAACGGCAUCCUCAACCCAUACAAGACUUUACCAGAUAAUCUGAGGUGACCGUGCAGCAAUGUUACAGGAAAUAGUUAGAAACAGAAUCCGCUAGACAAAAGGCUCAAAAAACAUUGUUUGUGGUCAUUUUUGAAUUUUCAGGAGGUAAAAAUGACUUAAAUGUUGCAUUUUCAGGCUUUAAAAUAAGAAAAAUUACAAUUGUGCAACAUUUAAAUCCUUUUACAGCAAAUAAUGCUGUGAAAUGUUGCAAUAUUGUAGUUUCCUGAAAUUAUUUUUGAUUGACAUGUUUGUAAACCAGGAGCGAGUCUUCAUGAUUUAGUUUUCCAGAUCUGUGAUGUUCUGAAAAAUGAUAACAGGAAGUGGUCGACAGCAGUAAAAGUUGAAAUGUAGAGUAAAAUCUGUCUGUAGGCUAAUCAUUACACUGCAGUUAAUGUUUUAUUACAUAUAAAAAAACAUUUUUUUCCCCACCAAAACAAAGCAAAAGCACUUUUAGUGCUGAAACCAGUCUUCAAUAAAAGUUUCAACAUCAAGUUGUUUUGAUUUUCUCUUUAGGCAACUUAAAGAAUGUGGCAGAACUGGAAAGAUCCAGCAUGCUACAUGUUUGUUUUUAGCACAAACACGUCUGUCCCGAUUCCUUUCUGCACGUGUCGAACAUGCGUCGAACGUGUCGACGCACCGGAUAUGUUCAUACUUUCAAGUUCAGCUGCAGACAAGUUCAUACUUAAAGUGUGCUAUUUCUACACAAACCAGCUUUAAAAAUGUGCCUGUAGUGUUUUUUUUCCCUCCAAGUUUCUUUCCAGUAAAUAAAUUCCUACUUGAGUUCA